UUGAAACACUGGUUUUCAUCCAGUCACCGAAGUUAAGCAAUGUUGAGCCUGGCCAGUACCAAAAUGGGUGACUACUCCGGAAUACCAAGUGGUGUUA